rnacentral:rRNA from 1 species
CAGCGCGGGGCAACCUGGCGGCGAGUGGCGAACGGGUGAGUAAUAUAUCGGAACGUACCCAGAAGUGGGGGAUAACGUAGCGAAAGUUACGCUAAUACCGCAUACGAUCUACGGAUGAAAGUGGGGGACCUUCGGGCCUCAUGCUUUUGGAGCGGCCGAUAUCUGAUUAGCUAGUUGGUANGGUAAAGGCUUACCAAGGCGACGAUCAGUAGCUGGUCUGAGAGGACGACCAGCCACACUGGAACUGAGACACGGUCCAGACUCCUACGGGAGGCAGCAGUGGGGAAUUUUGGACAAUGGGCGCAAGCCUGAUCCAGCAAUGCCGCGUGAGUGAAGAAGGCCUUCGGGUUGUAAAGCUCUUUUGUCAGGGAAGAAACGGCUGAGGUUAAUACCUUCGGCUAAUGACGGUACCUGAAGAUAAGCACCGG